rnacentral:rRNA from 1 species
AUUGAACGCUGGCGGCAUGCCUUACACAUGCAAGUCGAACGGUAACAGGUCUUCGGAUGCUGACGAGUGGCGAACGGGUGAGUAAUACAUCGGAACGUGCCUAGUAGUGGGGGAUAACUACUCGAAAGAGUGGCUAAUACCGCAUGAGAUCUACGGAUGAAAGCAGGGGAUCGCAAGACCUUGUGCUACUAGAGCGGCCGAUGGCAGAUUAGGUAGUUGGUGGGAUAAAGCUUACCAAGCCGACGAUCUGUAGCUGGUCUGAGAGGACGAUCAGCCACACUGGGACGGAGACACGGCCCAGACUCCUAGGGGAGGCAGCAGUGGGGAAUUGUGGACAAUGGGCGCAAGCCUGAUCCAGGAAUGCCGCGUGCAGGAUUAAGGCCUUCGGGUUGUAAACUGCUUUUGUACGGAACGAAAAGCCCUGGGUUAAUACCCUGGGGUCAUGACGGUACCUUGAGAAUAAGCACCGGCUAACUACGUGCCAGCCGCCGCGGUAAAAC